rnacentral:piRNA from 1 species
GGGGUGGGUUGUGGCAUGUUUGGAGGUC